CGUGGCUCGGGAUUUGAAGCCUCCGCGGCAGGCGACCGCCGAACGUAUUACUGUGGUAUUUCUAAACCCUCUCUGGUAUUACUUCAGUUGACGCUCGGAAACUACCGCCACAUUUCGUGUCCUCGAGAUUAACUGUGUCAGUCGCCAGUAGUCACCUCCGCUCGGCCGCCAGUCAGCCAGCCUGGAGUGUCUCGACCGUUGAGCGGCGCGGAUGUUGGAGUUAAAGGCAGGCAAGUGAGAGGUCCAGUAGUAGGCCGAUUUGUAGCAGGUAGUGUUUGUAGACCACAAUAUCUUCCACUACUUCUUGAUCAACUCGGCCUACCUUCUCUACUUAGAUACCUACUUUAUUCUUGUUCGAGAGCGGUUGUGUGUAUGUGUGUGUAGUGGGAAUAGUUGUAUCUCAUCGCGCCUCCGUUUGACUGCGUUAUUUCAUUCCACUCAAGGACGACGAAGAAGAAGCGGGAUUGUGCUAAUCUGUUCUCUGCCCUGUUACGCCUGUGUAAGCGCCGAGGUUUUAAUUCUUGUCCUCGGACAGCCGUCACGGAAGAUUUUCACUGCGGGUGAUUGGAGGGCGUGGCUGGUAGGUUUUUCUCCUUGAUUCUUCUCUUUCCACCGUGUUGCUUCUGUCCUUUUUACCCUUUUCCCUGCACAAAAUGUCAGUUAUUGUGUCAAUGUGCUUCUCUUUACUCAAACAAACAAAUAGAUUCUGAUUUUCUCAAGUUUAGCCCCUCCUCCUUGUGUUGAAAACGCAAAAAAAAA